ACGCACACACUUCACGACAGAGACUGUUGUUCUUUCGUCUCUCAGGGAGGAGAGCAGAGUAGCAGGGGCAGUCGUCUCACAAAAGGAAAAGCAGCACUGAGAUGUCACUACAGCCAUAAAAGAUGGGGCUGAGGCCAAAGUGAAGCCAUGGACCACUACGAGUCAGACACACAAACAGAGAGCUGUUUGCCAGCCAGCACAGACAUCUCAGCAGCCGGGCAGAGAGCUACUUUUGUCAUUCUUGGGAGCACCAUUCACAAGAAAAAACUGUUCAGUCAACUUCUUGCAAGAAUUUUUUUGACGAAUAAUGACAUGAGUGUGAAUGGGAAUGCUGGUGUGGUCGAGUCAUGGGAAAGAUGAAAGCUAUGGUUUAGCCAAGCAAGAACAGCAAACAGUCAAGUAAAUUAAUAAUUCAAACAGAAGAAUAUUGUGAGAUAGAGAGACGCAAAGGGAUCACACGUUGCAAAGAUCUUAAGUCACAUUUGACCAUGGAGACCUUGAGAUGAGAUUGUAUGCACCUUAAUAAAUGGAAGCACUUAAACACUCUGCGUGAACAUAUUUAAUAAUAUUACAUGUGAGCCGAAGGCUCAUGAUGUGAAAGUCGUCUUUGCAAAAAAGUGUGACCUCCCGUCUAGUUUCAAAGUGAAAGGAAAAAGUAAUGUUUCACACAAGGCUCCAGAGAUGAUGUCAUCCGAUUGUCUACAGUGAAGUACCAGCGAUAAUGUUGUCACAAGUGAUGCUGGGUGUCGUCCUGUCCCUCAUCAUCCUUCUGACUGUCGGUGGUAAUGUGCUGGUGUGUUUGGCUGUCUGCGCUUCUCGACGCCUCCGCUGCCUCACCAACUGCUUCAUCGUGUCGCUGGCUGUUACAGACUUGCUGCUCGGCCUCUUGGUCCUCCCCUUCUCCGCCCUUCUCCAGCUCAACAAAGUGUGGCCGCUCGGCCCGGCCUUCUGCAACUUCUACAUCUCCAUGGAUGUCAUGCUGUGCACUGCCUCCAUCCUAACGCUCCUGGCCAUCAGUGUGGACCGCUACCUGGCAGUGACCAUGCCUCUGAGAUACGCCUCACUGGUGUUGCCAUGGAGAGUUGCCGUGGCCAUGGCCAGUGUUUGGACAGUGUCUGUGGCCGUGUCUUUCUUGCCCAUCCAAAUGGGGUGGAACACUGUUAAUGGCACUGUGCAGAACCAGGGGCCUUGGGCUGAAGAGGGGAAAUGUCGUUUUGAGCUGAACAGACCCUACGCACUGACUGAUUCUCUUCUCACUUUCUACCUGCCUCUGGUAGCCAUGUGCUGGACCUACCUCCGAAUACUCCGCAUUGCACGUACACAAGCCAAACGCAUUAUCAGUGCCCGGCCUACUUGUGUCACAAGCUACAACUGUAGGAACAAUACUUCCAGCAGUUUCACUGUGGUUUCCAGUAUUACAGCAGUAGCUCUGCGGGAGCACAAAGCCACAAUGACACUGGCCGCAGUGAUAGGAGCUUUUGUGGUGUGCUGGCUGCCAUAUUUUAUCCUGUUCACAGUGUUGGGCAUCCAGGAGCAUCCAGACCCAAGCGAGGUAGAGGAAUUCCCCAUUGUGUUGUGGCUGGGUUACGCCAAUUCAGCCCUUAACCCUAUCCUCUAUGGAGCCCUCAACAGAGACUUCAGGUCAGCUUACACCCAUCUACUGAGAUGUCGAUGCCCUACCUACAGCGGGUGGAGGAGCCGACAGCCGUCUCCCACAAUGACAGCAGCCAGAGAGCAGCUAACAGAGGUGACACUGCUGUGUGGACACACCCCCGCCACCUGCAGGGCAGGUCUAGCAGAGCAAAACUUUAUCCUUCAGGAAAUAACCAGCGGGACACCCACAGCAACUAUCCAAUUUGCAAAUGGCACUGCUGCCACUGAUGUCAACGGCAACGAAAGGUCAUGCUGAGCCUGUGCUGGUGAGGCGGGUGCUGUGUUCACUAUACUGCUGCUGCAACCAAGAACCAGAAUCCAUCAGCCUAAGAAGAAAGAGCAGCGGACAGACAAAAACAUGGACAGAGAUUUCCAGCCCCUCCACUUGGAAGCCUUCAGUGCCACAAAACAACUCUAUCCGUAAGUCACCAAACAACAAUGAAAGAAAAAGGGAGCUCAGCAGCUCCACACCUCAUCAGCAAGAACAAAGUGUACGCAAACAGCUGGCCUCUACCCAGCAAGGACCGAACACAUGAUGAUGCUUCUACGUGGAUGGAGCUAAGUCGUCUAAUGAAAUCACUGCAUCCAACCAUCACACAGUGCAUGUCCCUGAUAUGCUCUUGACCUAACUAUGGAUAGUACCGAAUCUCUGGAGGACUGAAUGAGACCAGCCGAUUAACUUGUUGGUCAUCACUUUCCUGAACUAUAUUUUUUAUGCUGACUCGAGAGUGCACUCCAGUGGAAACACAAAGUAUCACAAUUUCAACCCGGACAAUGGAAUUCGAUGAUUCACAAAAUCAGAGAGCUGAAGGGGGAAAAAAAAGAUAAACUGACUUUUAUUACACUUAUUGCUUCAUGGUGAAUGUGUUGAAACAUGUAGCGUGAAAACUAUUGUUCUGUGCCUGUUUUGAAGGAUGCAGAUCGUGUCUUUACUGUUGCUCAUUCAGUGACGUGCAGCUGCCAAAUCUAUGUGUUGUAUCAUGGUGUAAAAGUAACUGAAGACUGUUCCUCCAAAGU